GCCUCCUUGGCUCAGUUGGCUAGAGCGCGAGUCUCAUAUUCAAUUAUGAGGACCAAUACGUUCGCAAUCUCGAGGUCGUAAGUUCGAGCCUUACAGGGGGCA